GAUGAACGCUGGCGGCGUGCCUAAAACAUGCAAGUCGAAUGCGCUUCGGGCGCAUGGCGAACUGGUGAGUAACACAUUGGAAUCUGCCCUUAUCUCAGGGAUAACCCAUCGAAAGGUGGGAUAAUACCUGAUAGUCCGUGCUUGCACGGUAAAACUCCGGUGGAUAAGGAGGAUCCUAUGUUCUAUCAGCUUGUUGGUGGGGUAAUGGCCUACCAAGGCUACGACGGGUAGCUGGUCUGAGAGGAUGAUCAGCCACAUUGGGGCUGAGAUACGGCCCAGACUCCUACGGGAGGCAGCAGGUAGGAAUAUUGCACAAUGGACGAAAGUCUGAUGCAGCAACGCCGCGUGAAGGAUGACGGCCUUCGGGUUGUAAACUUCUUUUAUCAGGGAAGAUUAUGACGGUACCUGAUGAAUAAGCUCCGGCUAACUACGUGCCAGCCGCCGCCGUAA
rnacentral:rRNA from 1 species